rnacentral:rRNA from 1 species
CCUACGGGAGGCAGCAGUGGGGAAUAUUGGGCAAUGGGCGCAAGCCUGACCCAGCAACGCCGCGUGAAGGAAGAAGGCUUUCGGGUUGUAAACUUCUUUUGACAGGGAAGAGUAGAAGACGGUACCUGUCGAAUAAGCCACGGCUAACUACGUGCCAGCAGCCGCGGGAAUACGUAGGUGGCAAGCGUUGUCCGGAUUUACUGGGUGUAAAGGGCGUGUAGCCGGGUUGACAAGUCAGAUGUGAAAUCCUGCGGCUUAACCGCAGAACUGCAUUUGAAACUGUUGAUCUUGAGUAGUGGAGAGGCAGACGGAAUGCGUGGUGUAGCGGUGAAAUGCGUAGAUAUUAGGAGGAACACCAGUGGCGAAGGCGGUCUGCUGGACAGCAACUGACGGUGAGGCGCGAAAGCGUGGGGAGCGAACAGGAUUAGAUACCCGGGUAGUC